rnacentral:lncRNA from 1 species
AAUAUUUUUUUUCAGAAGUUAAAUUGUUUAUACUCCGGUUCCAACUACUAUUCCCGCACUAUACGACAAUAGAUCGAAACCUCGUUACUGAAAUAUAUUUUCACCAGAAGUUAUCGUCUACGUAUAUGUGUGGGACUCCGCCUAGAGUUUGUAAUUCUUGAGAAGCGCCUUUACCUUGGAGAAUAUAUAUCCCGUUCUUA